rnacentral:tRNA from 1 species
UAAAAUUUAUUUCCAAUAUUCAUAAAAUCAUAAAUGUAAGUUAUAAUGUUUUAAACUUUGA